CACCGCCAGACCUUGUCGUGUGUCUUUCCUGCCGGCCGGGAGCGGACAUCGACAUUUGGUGGCCCGUACGGGGAUUGAUCAACCCCGAGACGCGGCGGUGGACUGCAUUCUCCUACACAGUGCUGCAGCUGCAGGACAGGAAUCGGGACGAGAACCAGUGUGGGUCCCAGAGAGGUUGACGCGACAAGUCCCUCGACUGAAGAUCAGGCCUGUUCCACCAGAGGCCAACCGCAGACCCAACAACAAGAUGAGCCCUAAAAGAACUGCAGGACAAUCCCUUUUUGGGGGCCUGGAACGGCUUGCUCCCCUAUGUGCUACCCUUGUAUACGCAUGGCUCGCUCGCAUGGCCUACGACCGCGUUUAAAAGUGACAGGCUUCCCACAUUCUCCUCCCUAGACAACAACAUGUAGCAGGGUGGGUGAGUCAAUGACGGGUAAGAGCGUGCCUCCCCAGCACGACUCAACCUAAGCCAGGCCCUACCCCGUUCCGCUCGAAAGCCGCUGGAUUGUUAGAUAAAUUUCUCUCCGAGGGGAUUCGUGGAGAGAAAUGAGUGCAUGCCUAUGUGCAACCAGGUUCCGUCCGGUUCAUUCCUGGCCCUAGAAAAAAGGACGAGGGCCUUGGGGCCUUGGUGGACCCUGGGACGGCCGACCAGGGUCUACGCUAAGGGCCUACGGUGGGCCUCAGUUCGGGGCAUAGGCCUCUGCACUCUAUCCAGGACGGGCUGCGAUGCGCGUAGCCAUCAUUUAAAAUAAAAUAGGGGGAGAUGUUGGGAGCCGUGGCACUGUCAAGUCAUCAGACGCGGUGAUUGCGAGGCCUGUGGGAAAGUACAAAAGCCUGGGCUAGAUUACCCCUCUCAUCGAGCCCGCCUGUGUGGCACCUGUUUCUUAUCACCCCACUAAGUUCCCGCCUCACAGGGUAGUCUGCCUAGCUAUUAAUCCUAUAUAUAGCCAGUGCCUCCACCCCCGAGAGAGAGAGAGAGAGAGAGAGAGAGAGAGACUGAAGCACAAAAGGAGCCGCGGGGAGCGGACCGGUAGAGGCUUCGAGAGAGACUGAAGCACGGAAGGAGCCGCGGGGAGCGGACCGGUAGAGGCUUCGGGGCAGACUGAAGCACGGAAGGAGCCGCGGAGAGCGGACCGGUAGAGGCUUCGAGAGAGACUGAAGCACGGAAGGAGCCGCGGGGAGCGGACCGGUAGAGGCUUCGGGGCAGACUGUAUAAGGAGAGAAUAAAGAAAAGCCUGACCACCGCCA